UUGUCUCUCACCUGAAUGUAAGGCCAGGAAGCUCCUAGCCUGCCCAGUGCUUUCUAGGAGGUGGAGGUUUGAGCAGCACUUGGUUGCUUUUGAGCAACUUGAGACAUUUGGAAAGACUGACUGACUGCUGCUCUUGGCUGCCGGUGUGUUGUGUGCUCUUGGCUUACUCCUGGGGAACAUCUGUCUGAUCAAUAACACGCUAAUUACAGGACCCCCUCCAGUCUUUGGUUUCAUCACAUCCAUUAGAAGAUUUUUCUGUUACACCACUAUAUAAACUGGUGGGCACUCAGCAUCCUGCUGUUCAGGCUUCAGCCUCGGCCAAAUUGUAGAGAACAAAUUUACAGCAUUAACAAUUAGUAUUUUACCUAGCCUGUUUGGGAUCAGGGAGAGAAAGCAAGGGAGCAAUGCUGGAUUAAACUUUGUUAAGAUGGAGUUGUUUGUUUGCCACCCAUCAGUGCCUUCUGCCUCUGGUACCCUUCCAUUAGGGGGGACUUCACAACCACAGAUUCAAACAUCUGAUAACCAGGAAAUGACUAGUUAAGGUCUCUCUCUCUAUCCCUUAGUGUAUGGGAGGGGUUUUCCCCCUGGUCUUCUCUCUUAGGACCUGGACUGAGCAAGAUUCCCUGCACCAAGCUUUCCCUCCCAUUUAACUUACUAUGUGCAGAGAAGGGGUAAAAUGUACUGAGUCCCAAAAUGAGGCAGUGAAGAAAAGUUUCCUAGAUGGCUGGAUCUCCUGCAUAUU